GACGAACGCUGGCGGCGUGCUUGACACAUGCAAGUCGAACGGAAAGGCCUGCUUUCCCUUGUGGAUUGCGGGUACUCGAGUGGCGAACGGGUGAGUAACACGUGAGUGAUCUGCCCCCAACUUGGGUAUAAGCCUGGGAAACUGGGUCUAAUUCCCGAUAGGACUGCAGGGUGGUGCCUGUGGUGGAAAACGAUUUUCUAGUGGUUGGGGAUGAGCUCGCGGCCUAUCAGCCUGUUGGUGGGGUAAUGGCCUACCAAGGCGGCGACGGGUAGCCGGCCUGAGAGGGUGGACGGCCACAUUGGGACUGAGAUACGGCCCAGACUCCUACGGGAGGCAGCAGUGGGGAAUAUUGCACAAUGGGCGGAAGCCUGAUGCAGCGACGCCGCGUGGGGGAUGACGGCCUUCGGGUUGUAAACUCCUUUCGACCGCGAGGAAGCCACCUGGUUGGAAGGGUGGUGACGGUAGUGGUAGAAGAAGCACCGGCUAACUACGUG
rnacentral:rRNA from 1 species